rnacentral:rRNA from 1 species
UACGGGGGGGGCAAGCGUUGUUCGGAAUUACUGGGCGUAAAGGGCUCGUAGGCGGCCAACUAAGUCCGACGUGAAAUCCCCAGGCUUAACCUGGGAACUGCGUCGGAUACUGGAUGGCUUGAAUCCGGGAGGGGGAUGCGGAAUUCCAGGUGUAGCGGUGAAAUGCGUAGAUAUCUGGAGGAACACCGGUGGCGAAGGCGGCAUCCUGGACCGGCAUUGACGCUGAGGAGCGAAAGCCAGGGGAGCAAACGGG